UCUCUCGAAUGUGAUCACUACCGGUUCCAAAAGACUCUUCACCGCAGAUGGAUAAACGCUUAGCAUCAAACAAGUUGCAGAAGAACUUCCAACCAGUAGGAACCUCAUACACAUUCUUUCCCUUAUACUUGCCAACUCUGUCAAUGGCGCCAGAUGUGGGCAUUGAACGAGCAAACCCAUGAACACCUCCAUCACGGAAGUAUGGAAUUAAUUCGGCAUGAUGGGCAAUGAUGGCUACACUGUCACUAGGUGUGACGAAUGCAUUGGCACCAUAAAUCAUGUUACGAUCACCAUCACCAUCAGAUGCUGCUCCCAUUACAAUGUUAUCCCGAUCAACACGAGCCACCAAACUCUUGGCGUAAGUGAGGUUAGGGUCAGGAUGACCACCACCAAAGUCGGGAAGAGGUUUGCAAUUCUGACAAACUGAUGAAGGCAUACCGAGUUCCUUACAGAAAAGAGCCUCACCGUAGGGACCAGUGAUACCAUGUAAAGCAUCAAAGACAAAUGUAAAAUCGGGGUUUUUGGAUAGGAAGCUGCGAAUCAAAUCAAAGUCAAAGAUUUCUUUCAUCAACUGAACAUAAUCCUUGACCGGGUCGAUGACUUCAACCGUCAAUGGGCCAUAUCUACGGACACCGGUCGUCGUUAAAUCCAAGGGAGGAAUCUUUACCAUUUUGUAUUCGGAUAUGGUUUUAGUAAUGGAAUAAAUUUUCUCAGUAACAGAUUCAGGUGCUGGUCCACCAUUGCCAAGGUUAUAUUUAAUACCGAAAUCGUUCUUGGGACCACCGGCAUUAUGAGAAGCGGUCAAAAUGAUACCGCCGGUUAGCUUGUACUUCCUAAUAAUGUGACUAGCGGCGGGAGUAGACAGAUAUCCAUUUGUACCAACAAUGAUCUUCUCAACACCAUUGCCAGCAGCUAUAGCAGCAAUGACUUGGAUGGCAUGAAAGUUGAAAUAACGUCCAUCACCACCGACAACUAGAUGGGCUCCUUUGGCAGAUGGUUCAACUACAUCCAUCGUAGCUUGAACAAAGUUCUCAACGUAAUUUGGUUGCUCAAAGACAGUAACCUUCUUGCGAAGACCUGAUGUACCAGGGCGUUGGCCCUCAUAUGGUUUCGUUGGGAUUGUUUCGAUCAUGUUG